GACAGAGGUGGCAAGCGUUGUUCGGAAUUACUGGGCUUAAAGGGCGCGUAGGCGGUGGAGUAAGUCCGGGGUGGAAGUCUAAGGCUCAACCUUAGGAUUGCCCUGGAAACUGCAUCACUUGAGUAUUGGAGGGGUGGUGGAAUUCCCGGUGUAGAGGUGAAAUUCGUAGAUAUCGGGAGGAAUACCGGUGGCGAAGGCGACCACCUGGCCAAAUACUGACGCUGAGGUGCGAAAGCGUGGGGAGCAAACAGGAUUAGAUACCCAGUAGU
rnacentral:rRNA from 1 species